UGACACCUUAAAAGUUCUGUUUCGGAAAGGUUUAAGUCAUGAAUUACAAACUGAACUGGCAUGUCGAGAUGAGGGGAAAAGUUUGAAUGAUUUCAUCGAACUGACAAUAGCAAUUGACAAUCUGCAACGUUCACGUAAACCCCGUUCUCGUGUCAGCACUGCCAUUAAAGCAGUUCAGUCUGUUGAAGACCCUGAACCUAUGCAAGUUAAUUCCUAUCAUCUCUCAUCUGAAGAAAGGAAUCGUCGCUUGGCAAAUCCCAGCUGUCCUUCACGUCCCUCAUCUGUCUCGUCCAAAUUGCUACCAUAGAUGGUCGUCCCCUGGGAACUGGUAUCAUCACUCAUCUUACUCAAAGUCUAUCCAUGACAACCGGUUUACUGCACCAGGAGGUCAUUCAGUUCUACGUUCUGC
ensembl:lncRNA